CUCUUGAAUAUCAAAGGUGAGCCAGUACAGGAUGGACCCGCGUCUGAUUAGCUAGUUGGUAAGGUAACGGCUUACCAAGGCGACGAUCAGUAGCCGACCUGAGAGGGUGAUCGGCCACAUUGGAACUGAGACACGGUCCAAACUCCUACGGGAGGCAGCAGUGGGGAAUAUUGCACAAUGGGCGAAAGCCUGAUGCAGCAACGCCGCGUGAGUGAUGAAGGCCUUCGGGUCGUAAAACUCUGUCCUCAAGGAAGAUAAUGACGGUACUUGAGGAGGAAGCCCCGGCUAACUACGUGCCAGCAGCCGCGGUAAUACGUAGGGGGCUAGCGUUAUCCGGAUUUACUGGGCGUAAAGGGUGCGUAGGCGGUCUUUCAAGUCAGGAGUGAAAGGCUACGGCUCAACCGUAGUAAGCUCUUGAAACUGGGAGACUUGAGUGCAGGAGAGGAGAGUGGAAUUCCUAGUGUAGCGGUGAAAUGCGUAGAUAUUAGGAGGAACACCAGUUGCGAAGGCGGCUCUCUGGACUGUAACUGACGCUGAGGCACGAAAGCGUGGGGAGCAAACAGGAUUAGAUACCCUGGUAGUCCACGCUGUAAACGAUGAGUAC
rnacentral:rRNA from 1 species